GACGGACGCUGGCGGCGUGCCUAAUACAUGCAAGUCGAGCGAGCGGAACUAACAGAUUUACUUCGGUAAUGACGUUAGGAAAGCGAGCGGCGGAUGGGUGAGUAACACGUGGGGAACCUGCCCCAUAGUCUGGGAUACCACUUGGAAACAGGUGCUAAUACCGGAUAAGAAAGCAGAUCGCAUGAUCAGCUUUUAAAAGGCGGCGUAAGCUGUCGCUAUGGGAUGGCCCCGCGGUGCAUUAGCUAGUUGGUAAGGUAAAGGCUUACCAAGGCGAUGAUGCAUAGCCGAGUUGAGAGACUGACCGGCCACAUUGGGACUGAGACACGGCCCAAACUCCUACGGGAGGCAGCAGUAGGGAAUCUUCCACAAUGGACGCAAGUCUGAUGGAGCAACGCCGCGUGAGUGAAGAAGGUUUUCGGAUCGUAAAGCUCUGUUGUUGGUGAAGAAGGAUAGAGGUAGUAACUGGCCUUUAUUUGACGGUAAUCAACCAGAAAGUCACGGCUAACUACGUGCCAGCAGCCGCGGUAAUACGUAGGUGGCAAGCGUUGUCCGGAUUUAUUGGGCGUAAAGCGAGCGCAGGCGGAAGAAUAAGUCUGAUGUGAAAGCCCUCGGCUUAACCGAGGAACUGCAUCGGAAACUGUUUUUCUUGAGUGCAGAAGAGGAGAGUGGAACUCCAUGUGUAGCGGUGGAAUGCGUAGAUAUAUGGAAGAACACCAGUGGCGAAGGCGGCUCUCUGGUCUGCAACUGACGCUGAGGCUCGAAAGCAUGGGUAGCGAACAGGAUUAGAUACCCUGGUAGUCCAUGCCGUAAACGAUGAGUGCUAAGUGUUGGGAGGUUUCCGCCUCUCAGUGCUGCAGCUAACGCAUUAAGCACUCCGCCUGGGGAGUACGACCGCAAGGUUGAAACCCAAAGGAAUUGACGGGGGCCCGCACAAGCGGUGGAGCAUGUGGUUUAAUUCGAAGCAACGCGAAGAACCUUACCAGGUCUUGACAUCUAGUGCCAUUUGUAGAGAUACAAAGUUCCCUUCGGGGACGCUAAGACAGGUGGUGCAUGGCUGUCGUCAGCUCGUGUCGUGAGAUGUUGGGUUAAGUCCCGCAACGAGCGCAACCCUUGUUAUUAGUUGCCAGCAUUAAGUUGGGCACUCUAAUGAGACUGCCGGUGACAAACCGGAGGAAGGUGGGGAUGACGUCAAGUCAUCAUGCCCCUUAUGACCUGGGCUACACACGUGCUACAAUGGGCAGUACAACGAGAAGCGAGCCUGCGAAGGCAAGCGAAUCUCUGAAAGCUGUUUUCAGUUCGGACUGCAGUCUGCAACUCGACUGCACGAAGCUGGAAUCGCUAGUAAUCGCGGAUCAGCACGCCGCGGUGAAUACGUUCCCGGGCCU
rnacentral:rRNA from 1 species